rnacentral:rRNA from 1 species
AGCGAACGCUGGCGGCAGGCCUAACACAUGCAAGUCGAACGAACCUUUCGGGGUUAGUGGCGGACGGGUGAGUAACACGUGGGAACGUGCCUUUAGGUUCGGAAUAACUCAGGGAAACUUGUGCUAAUACCGAAUGUGCCCUUCGGGGGAAAGAUUUAUCGCCUUUAGAGCGGCCCGCGUCUGAUUAGCUAGUUGGUUGAGGUAAUGGCUCACCAAGGCGACGAUCAGUAGCUGGUCUGAGAGGAUGAUCAGCCACAUUGGGACUGAGACACGGCCCAAACUCCUACGGGAGGCAGCAGCUGAGAAUCUUGCGCAAUAAGCGAAAGCCUAACGCAGCCAUGCCGCGUGAAUGAUGAAGGUCUUAGGAUUGUAAAAUUCUUUCACCGGGGACGAUAAUGACGGUACCCGGGGAAGAAGCCCCGGCUAACUACGUG